UACAGAGGUCUCAAGCGUUGUUCGGAUUCAUUGGGCGUAAAGGGUGCGUAGGCGGCGCGGUAAGUCGGGUGUGAAAUCUCGGAGCUUAACUCCGAAACUGCAUUCGAUACUGCCGUGCUCGAGGACUGGAGAGGAGACUGGAAUUUACGGUGUAGCGGUGAAAUGCGUAGAUAUCGUAAGGAAGACCAGUGGCGAAGGCGGGUCUCUGGACAGUUCCUGACGCUGAGGCACGAAGGUCAGGGGAGCAAAACGGG
rnacentral:rRNA from 1 species